GGCGCCCCUGCGCCCCUACGCCAGAUCGUCGCCACCUGUCCCCGCUCAGUAUCGGAAGGCCGCACUGCGCCUGCUCCAGCUCGCCACCCGUGCAGGCCGCCCGCUCGGCUCCUUUGCUGCUCAAGCGCCAGCUCCAAUCACGCUCGGCUCCGCUCCAGUCUAUCCCGCCAGGAGGCCCCCGCUCGCUCGCUCGUCUCCUUCGAUAAAAGUCUCCAAUCGCAAGGAGGAAACCCUAGCGCGCUGAUAACGAGCGAACGCGUUGGGUGCCGUCACCAUCGCCGGUCAAGCACGAGGGCUCCCGCCGCAAGGCCUCCCGGCGCGACCCCGACAGCGUCACCAUCUCCGCCAUCAUCCCGGAGCUGCGCCUCCUCGUCGCGGGCGUCGCAUCGUCGUCCCCUGGUACCUUGUCGUCUUCUACCACGAUGAAGAACACCAUGUCGGUUCCUAGAUCAGUGGAGAAUGAAGGUCCUAUUGAGGAAAUGGUUGAUAAAUCUGGAUAAAAUUUGAUGACACCUAUAGUUGGAAUGACUUUUGAAUCCGAGGAAAAGGCUUAUGAGAUGUACAAUACUUAUGCCGGACAGGUUGGGUUCAGUAUUAGAAAGAGCAAGACAAAGCGCCGCCAAGAUGUGGUAGUUUAUAUCAGAAACAUCUAGUAUGCAGUAGCCAAGGACAUCGAGAAAAUGAGUCAUCACAAAAAGGAUAUUACAAGGAGGGGUUGUGAUGCUCGUGUUCAGUUUAGUAUCAGCAGAGAAGGUAUUUGGACAGUGCAAAAGGUCGAACUAGAGCACAACCAUUAUCUUGCUAGUCCAAAUAAGCGAUGAAUCUAUGUAACUGUGCUCUUUUGCUAUUAAGGGACCUUAGGAAAUAAGCAUGUUCUUUUGUCCCCAUGAAUGGUAUUAUAGAAUUGUGUCAGUUCCAAAAAGUUUGAAUCUGUUGGAAGUAUAACUGUGCUCUUCUAAUGUUAAGGAACCUGUCAUUUGAGUGAACCA